UCCAGUGUUGAGUGCAGGAGGUGGUGGGAGUGGGGGGUGUCACCGAGGGAACUGAAGAAGAAAACUGAAGACACUGUCUCCCUGCCCUUAAGAAGCUGACAAUAUGUGCAAGAAGGUGACAAUAAUCCUUACCUUUGAGCAACACUUGACAGUUUUCAAAGCCCUUUAAUUAUCUCAUUUAAUCUUCUUGACAGUCCUGCCAGAUAAUUUUCAUGAUCUCUGCUCCAGGAUGAGGAAACCAAAGCAUUCCAAGUCACGCGGGGCUACCCCAAGAUCACCCAACCAGCCCGCAGAGGGGCAGGCACCUGACCUCAGGUCUCGGGAUGCCCUCUCUGCGAAAGGGGAAUGACGGGCUGCCUCCACGGCCCAGCUCAGAGCUUGCCGACCUGCUCCAACACAAGACUUCCUUUUUCCCUUUGGAAACUGUUGCAAUCCUUCAGAUGAGGAAAGAGGCACAGAGACCUUUAAACAACCUGCCUGAGGCUAUACAGCUGGUCUGAGCAGAGCUGGCACUCAAAGCCAGGCAGUCCAGGAGGGAAAGCUUGCCUUUACCAGAGCGCUGAGGGGGAUGAGGACAGUCCGUGCCACCUGGGCAUCUGAUUCACCCUCAGGAGACCUCCACUGAGUUCCAGCUCAGCUGCUUAUGAGCCACGUGACCUGGGCCAGCCAGGUUGCCUCCUGGAGCCUCGCCAUUCAGCUGCAGGGGCGGUGAUAAUAAAACUUGCUCCACCUACCUCUCGGGAGGAUGUGCGGAUUCCAUGAAAUCACUGAUACUGCCAGUGCUUUGAAACAGCUGCAUAGGGCGACAGAAAUGCAGAGAUCAUGAUUAUGUCCUCAGAGCAGCAUUCUUGGAUUAUCUCAUGGAACCAUUCGGGCUCUUCAUCUCCCCAGCCUGCCCUCAGCUCCCCAAGUGGUGGGAGUCAGAACCUGGGCCUGUGUGUUGCUUCAAAUACUGCUUUGGUGGAAAGGGGAGGCGUUACAGACUCCACCAGCUUAAGUAUUCCCCAAAGAAACAUACUAGAGCAUUGGCUCAAGGAUAUAUCCUAGGCCUGAAUUUCUGCGAGGGCCUCUUUUUCUUGUUUGUCAUAAAAGAAACAGGCUUUCAGCUACUUGGGCAGGAUUUAACUAGCCAUCAGCCCUAGAGAUAAGUGGAUCACGCUCAACAACCUCACAUGGGAGUAAUUUGUACCCAAGAGCAGUGUAUAAU